AUUGAUCACCAAUUAGAGGAGGAUGGAAGGCACUUCACAAAGGGUCAAGGACACAAGUUGACAGUGGAAUGUUAACAUCUUCACAUGGGGUCUGGAGGUUAAUUUUUUUGUUUUUGUGUCUAUUUGAUUGCUUUUUUUUUUUUAGCCUUCAGAAAUGCAUCUUCCAUCCAAAAAAUGCCUCAAUGACUCAGUGAGACUAUUAGAACCAUCUUGAGUUGACAGCUUUUCUCAACUGGGAUUUGGGCAGAGAAGCAUGGACAAGGCCCUUGCUAAAUGAAGUUCAUAUCUGGAGAUGCUUUUCCUAUUUUUUUUUGCUGCAAGUCUGUUUUCUGGGAAACUGACUUUGUGUCCAGGCUCAGGAAGUGGCCAUAGGCAAGUGACCCUUGAAGGAAAUUCAAGACUGAUUUUAUUUAUUUAUUUAUUUUGUUUUGUUUAUUUAUUUAGAGGGCAGGGGUACAGAAGGGGAGUCCAGCCUUUUGACCACAUCUUUACUCCUCCUGGAUAUCCCCAGCCCAGUCAAAUCCUGUGCUGGAAAUCCAGUUCUCAUCAAUAGCAGCGAACCCUCCUUGGCCUUUGAACUGCAGCAGCACCUCCAGGGCACUGCCUGUGGCUGAGAGGUGUCAUUUCUGUCUGCUUGGAGCCCAGAGCUGAGAAAAAUUAGUGUGGCUGCCCUGGACCUAGGCCAAGACCCAGCCACAGGCAGCUGGAGAACCUCAAGCUGGUUUUCAGCGAUGUUGAUGGAGCCAUUUCCCUUCAAGGAUCAGUGUGUCUUGUGGGGACAUCUUCAUAACAUAGAAGAAAAACUUUGUUCAUUUGUUUAUUUCUUUUUGAAAUCUAGGGCUGGAUAGUAGCUCUCCAAAGAGGACACUGUCACUUCCCCCCUCGGAGGACUUUUUUUUUUUUUUUGAGACCCCAGCCAGUGCAUGGGAAUAGCAUACAGAAAGGAAACUUCUUGAGAGAACCUGGGCCUCACACAGAACUUACUUUGCCCCUCCAGUCUGUGUGUUUACUCAGAUAAAAAGACCAGAGUGAAGGAAAAAACUAGCACUGCCAUGAAAUGCCAGAGGGGUUCGAAAGUGGGCUUUGUGCAUGGCAAGAUACGGUCCCUGCCUGCUGGCUUCCUAAGGGAACAAUCAUUGAUCAGUCACCUGAAAUGCACCUGUGUGGUGUGUCUGACUACUGCCUAUAUACUGAGUAUUUCACCAUUGCAGGACUGGCCUUCAGUUCAAGAGGGAGCCUAAGGGUCAGUUCUCUCCUAGGAGAUGUUGGGUCCACUGACAGGUGUCUUUUAGAAGAAUCACAUAUGAUUCUGUGGUUAAGAGUGCAAACUUUUUAAAAAGUAUUUAUUUAUUUUUCCCAUUUGGUUGCCCUUGUUGUGGUUGUUAUUGUUAUAGCCGUUGUUGUUGGAUAGGACAGAGAGAAAUGGAGAGAGGAGGGGAAGACAGAGGGGGAGAG